GGAUCCUUGCAAACCCAGCUCCAUUGUAUGCAUGUCUCUGCUCUUGUCCUAUGCAACCCCAAUGUGUUAAUAGCAGAUCUGCAACAAGUGCCACUGGAAGUACUUUAUGCUGCGACUGCUGCUGUUUCCACUUACUUUACACUUGAUUAUAAAUGAUCUUGUAGAGUUUUAUUGUUGAUACUUUUUAUGUAUCUGUGACUUGUCAGAACUGCUUAUUACAUCUCCAGAUGCCAAUAAAUGUGAAGCCUAAAUCCAUCAGUCACUUCUUGAGGCUUGUCUUCCUUUGAGAACCUGAUGCAGUGUCUCCUGAAAUCAAUGGGAGUCUUUACAUUGAUUCCAGUGGAUGUCAAGUCAAUCCCCUCUUUAGACUGAGAUGACAGGCACUGUCUUUGAGUUGGCUUUGAGUGUCCUACACCUAUGAUGAUAGGACCCUUAUUCAUCCUGGCGCUCCUAAGAGCAAGAUUAACAAUGAUGGUGAAGUCAUCCUAAAUAGAUUCAGAUGAAACCCUCGUAUCACACCACAUCUUCUGUUUUGUUUUUGGAGAGGCCUAGACAAAACUAGGUUUGCAAUAACUUGAAGUUACCUCUUUGAGUGCUGUGUAGGCAGUUUAGGAGGUGGGAGAAGACUUGAGUUCCAUGUGUUACUUGCUUAAGACUGGUAAGGUUGAUAAACAGCAGGGCAAACUAUCUAGUUGUGUGUAUUUUAUAGGUUCUCCACUCUGGUAUUCACAUCCAAAGCUUCAUAAAGGAGGACAGAGCUGCACUAACACGGCCAGUGGAGGAGUUGAGGGUGGCUUAUGUCCUCUGAUGACUAACAUGCUGCAGCCAGAUGGAAUGCUUUUUAAUACAGGCUUUAGAGUAAACUGUGUGAAAGAUGGAUACGGGUUGUGGGUAAGCAUCACCAGUCUUUAUCCUGAGGAGGGUGUUUGUCCUGAUCUUGUGGUCCCAAUGGACGUGGUGGCAGAUACAGUCACACAGCCAAGAAACCAGCUCUUGAGGGUGAACUCAAG
rnacentral:lncRNA from 1 species